rnacentral:rRNA from 1 species
UGGGGAAUAUUGGACAAUGGGCGAAAGCCUGAUCCAGCCAUGCCGCGUGUGUGAAAAAGGUCUUCGGAUUGUAAAGCACUUUAAGUUGGGAGGAAGGGCAGUAAGCGAAUACCUUGCUGUUUUGACGUUACCGACAGAAUAAGCACCGGCUAACUCUGUGCCAGCAGCCGCGGUAAUACAGAGGGUGCAAGCGUUAAUCGGAAUUACUGGGCGUAAAGCGCGCGUAGGUGGUUCGUUAAGUUGAAUGUGAAAGCCCCGGGCUCAACCUGGGAACUGCAUCCAAAACUGGCGAGCUAGAGUAGGGCAGAGGGUGGUGGAAUUUCCUGUGUAGCGGUGAAAUGCGUAGAUAUAGGAAGGAACACCAGUGGCGAAGGCGACCACCUGGGCUCAUACUGACACUGAGGUGCGAAAGCGUGGGGAGCAAACAGG